rnacentral:rRNA from 1 species
GAUGAACGCUAGCGGCAGGAUUAAUACAUGCAAGUCGAGGGGCAGCAUGAAUGUAGCAAUACAUUUGAUGGCGACCGGCAAACGGGUGCGGAACACGUACACAACCUUCCUAUAAGUGGGGAAUAGCCCAGAGAAAUUUGGAUUAAUACCCCGUAACAUAAUGAUGUGGCAUCACAUUAUUAUUAUAGCUACGGCGCUUAUUGAUGGGUGUGCGGCUGAUUAGAUAGUUGGCGGGGUAACGGCCCACCAAGUCUACGAUCAGUAGCUGAUGUGAGAGCAUGAUCAGCCACACGGGCACUGAGACACGGGCCCGACUCCUACGGGAGGCAGCAGUAAGGAUUAUUGGUCAAUGGACGCAAGUCUGAACCAGCCAUGCCGCGUGAAGGAUUAAGGUCCUCUGGAUUGUAAACUUCUUUUAUCUGGGACGAAAAAAGGCGAUUCUUCGUCACUUGACGGUACCAGAUGAAUAAGCACCGGCUAACUCCGUGCCAGCCGCCGCCGUAAGAC